GAUGAACGCUGGCGGCGUGCCUAAUACAUGCAAGUCGAGCGGAAGGACGAGAAGCUUGUUUCUCUGAUGUUAGCGGCGGGCGGGUGAGUAACACGUGGAUAACCUCCCUAUCUGACUGGGAUAACUACGGGAAACCGGAGCUAAUACCAGAUGAUAUUUUGCACCGCAUGGUUCAAUAGUGAAAGACGGUCUUGCUGUCACUGAUAGAUGGUUCCGUGCUGCAUUAGCUAGUUGGUAAGGUAACGGCUUUCCAAGGCAACGAUGCAUAGCCGACCUGAGAGAGUGAUCGGCGACACUAGAAGUGGGACACGGUCCAGACUCCUACGGGAGGCAGCAGUAGGGAACCUUCCGCAAUAGGCGAGAGCCUGACGGAGCAACGCGGCGUGAGUUGUGGAGGUCUUCGGAUCUGAAAACUCUGUUAUUAGGGAAGAACAUAUUUGUAAGUAGCUGUAGACAUCUUGACGGUACCUGGUCAAAAAGCCACGGCUAACUACGUG
rnacentral:rRNA from 1 species